rnacentral:rRNA from 1 species
AUCCUGGCUCAGGAUGAACGCUGGCGGCGUGCCUAACACAUGCAAGUCGAACGAAGCACUUUUUUACGAUCCCUUCGGGGUGACGAAUUUGUGACUGAGUGGCGGACGGGUGAGUAACGCGUGGGAAACCUGCCUUGUACCGGGGGAUAGCAGUUGGAAACGACUGAUAAUACCGCAUAAGCGCACAGUAUCACAUGAUACAGUGUGAAAAACUCCGGUGGUACAAGAUGGUCCCGCGUCUGAUUAGCUUGUUGGCGGGGUAAUGGCCCACCAAGGCGACGAUCAGUAGCCGACCUGAGAGGGUGACCGGCCACAUUGGGACUGAGACACGGCCCAAACUCCUACGGGAGGCAGCAGUGGGGAAUAUUGCACAAUGGAGGAAACUCUGAUGCAGCGACGCCGCGUGAGCGAUGAAGUAUUUCGGUAUGUAAAGCUCUAUCAGCAGGGAAGAUAAUGACGGUACCUGACUAAGAAGCACCGGCUAAAUACGUG